rnacentral:lncRNA from 1 species
AUAUUGCUCCUCACUAUCAUUUUAGCCAUUUUGUAAUCUCAUUAUUGUUUAUUGUUAAGUUCUAAAUUCUCAAAACUCAAAACCUCUUUUGGUUAUAAAUCAAACUUGCUUAGUUUAAUAGUAACACUUGAAUUGCUUGUUUGUUAGACACGAAGUCCUUGUGGGAUCGAUACUCAACUUAAAAGGGCCACUUUAUUACUUGCAAGAUCCGUACACUUAUGUGUAUAGUAGCAUGCAACACUUGUAAUCACAAAAAAAUAAUUAAUCAACUAUGGUUUUCAAACAAAGUCUACAAUCAAAUAGAUGGGAUGGUCGAUAGUAUACCAUUAAUGUCCAGAGGAAUCAAAAUUGAGCAUAAGAUGCAUCAUUCUCCUCUCAAGAUGUCUUUUAUGCUUCUUUAUGUGUGCCAUCUUCUUCUUUAAGUAGUCCAAUAUCAAUGCAACGGACUCCUAUCUCCAUGGGAAUUUCUUAAAAAAUCAUGAGAAUAGAUUAUUUUUAUGAAGUUUCGAUCAACUGCUAAACAUCUCUUGCUAGCAAUAGUAAAUGCAAGAACCAAAUCAAACAACACUUCAACUUGUCCUUCUGCUUCGGCCUCUUUCCUUUAACCAAAUUUAAAAGGCUUGUUGUAGUAAUCCUUUUGUUGCGGCUAAUUCUAUAGCAAAAUCUCUUUCAAUCCCUAUACAGCUUUAACAAUUUUGAUUCACUAGAAUAUGUUGAACUCCUUAAUUCCAUAAUUAAAGCAUACACAAUCAAGUCAAAAUAAACAGGCCUACCAUUAAUGGAAAACUACAUCUCAUGAACUUUAAAGUUAGAUUUGACAUGAUGAAGAAGCAUGUGAUGGACGAACUGUCCAUGAAAUUUCAAAUGGUCUGAAAUUUCAUCAAACUGACAAAAACAAGAAUUUUGAAACCUACAAAAGAGUUUCUGCCCAACUAAAAGUCUCUUAAAUUGGUAAAAAUGUUUCUCCCUAGACCUAAUAGAAAUUUUUGUUGGGAAUGAUUCAAGUUCAUCUAUAUAGAUAAAAAUACCAUAAUUUUUACCAUUAAGGCCUAGUGAAUACUCUAGAACACACAGAGGAUCAUCAAACUCAUUUUCAUACCUACAACUAUAUGGAAAGCUAUCCCCUCCUCCACUACUACUACUACCCCUAGCACCAUCUCCACGAGCCCCACUACCACUAUCUAAUUCGGUCUCACUAGCCUAACCACUUAGUUCAUCAACAUACUUAUCAACUUCCUCCGUUAUUUUUGAAUUCAACGAAUGUUCAGAUGGUGAAGAUUUUUUUUCGCAUCUCGCUUUAGUUUAGUGGUACUUCUUGUCAUACUAGAAGGAGUAAAAGCUUUCUUUGCCCCUUCGCUACUCUUGCUACUCUUCUAACCAUUUCUUAUGAUCUACGAGAAAUUGAAUACCAUUUACAUUAAAAUUAAUCGACCACAAGGUCAAGAACAAGAAUUAAAAAAUUACACAUCAUUAUCUAGAAAAAUUUCAUUAUCUACAUCAAUCGACAUUCAUAUACGAUACAGAAUACAAAUUUAUUUCUAAAAAAUCCUAAAUAUAUAUAGUCAUUAAUCAAUAAAAUUUUAAAACAAAAAUCUAUACUUCAUAAAAAAAAACUACCAUUGUUGUUAUAACACAUUAACAAGAAAUUCCAGCAUCAGAAUACUCAUAUUAUUUUAAAAUCUUCACAACAAACCUGAUUGCAUUCAAAAAACCUUCUUAAAAAACAAAUAAAACCACCAUAAAAGACUCCAAAAACUGUUCAGAAGAAGAUAAUGACUUACCUGGUAACGACAAAUUUGAAGUUUUGACCUUGAGAGAGAAGAAAAAACGGAGUUGAAUAGUUGGGGAAGAGGGUGAGAGAGAGAGUGAGAGAGGAGAAAGCAGGAGUUUGUAAAUGAGUAAAGAAGGAGUUGAGAGUUGUGUAAAAAUUAGAAAGUAGUAACUGAACCUAGGUAGAUUACUAUUGACUUUUAGGAGACAAAGGUAGAAUUUAUUAAACUAAUGACCCCACUACUUUUUCACCCUUUUACUAAAACACUAAAAGUUGAAUAAAAAAAAAAAAAGGUGGCCAUAAGCCUAAUUAAGUCUUGACAGUGGGUGCCCUCCCAAUUUCUCUCAAUUAACAAGUGAAGUAUAAUAUAUUUUUUAGUACUAUAUCUUGCUUUAAGCAUUAGAUGUAAUCCAUCUAUAUCUUAUAUUCAAUUUCUCAAAAACACCAUAGAAUAAUCAUAUUGCUUUUUUAAUUUUACCAUUUUUUAUGAAAUUGACAUUACACAUUCAUCAUAUUAUUACUUGGACGGUUGAUGUAUAUACUAGGUUAUAUAUACUCAUCAUAUAUGAAACAUUUGUGGUGAUUUAACUCAUGACAUCAGGAAUAUAUAUUGAAAAAUGUUUUUCAACAUCACAAGCACAAUAAGUAAGAACAAAAUGUAAUAUUUUGAAAUAUUUUAUGAGCACUGGAAAAAUAAUUUAAACAAGGCAUUAUAAGCCUAAUUCAGACAAAAUAUAAUUGUGCUUAUUUUCAACUUGUAUUCUCCAAGAGUUUCUUCUCAGAGAUGGAUUAGAAGAUUAAAUAGAUUGAUGCAGCUAGACAGUUUUGAAAUGCCAUUAGCAAUCCUCUUGGAAUACAACAUGGAAUCAACCUACUGUCAACAUUUUACAAGUUGGUGGAAUAUAUAAAGAUGAGAACUCUAUUCAUAUGAAUCACAUGAAGACCACCCCAAUCAUCAUAUGAUGAAAACUAUUGAAAGCAGAGAUGUGCAUGCAAAAUGGAAACAAAAAAAUACUAUUCCUCUCCAGUAAGAUAGUAUAUCAAGCAAUCAGGAAUAUAAUGUUAGAGCUUAACGGCUCUAGAUCGGAACAUUAAUAUGAAAUGAAAAAACCAUAGAAAAUAGAAAAGACAGAGAGAGAAAGCUCUGUUAUUCAAUGUGAGAAAAAAUAUUUGAUCCCUUUUUCUAGAAGAGCCCUUUAGUCUUAUUUAUAAAAAAAAAUAAAAUAAAAAAAAAUACAGUUAAAUCAAGUUAGGCCUGGAACCUUAUGUGGAGGUGGGCUAUGACUUAGGCCUGUGUCAACACCCACUCUCAAGCUGGAGGGUGUAAGAAUUCCCAGCUUGUGCAAAAGUGAAUGAUGAUGCCAAAGGCUUAGUCAUACUGUUAGUCAACUGAUCAGCAGAAGAAACAUAAUAAAGUGAAUUAACAUCAGAAAAAACAAAAUCUUAAAAAUAAUGAAAAUUGAUCUCAAUAUAUUUCGUACGCUCAUGAAACACUAUAUUUUUAGCAAUAUGUAAAGCAGUUUGACUAUCCAAAAUACGUUAUAGGAGAAGAAAUGGUUAAACCAAGAUAAGCAAAUAAAUCAGUAAGCUAGACAACCUCAGCCACAUCUUUGCUUAAGGCUUUAUAUUCAGCUUUAGCAAAGCAAAGACCAAUUUUAAAUUUUUUUCUCGCUCUUCUAAGAAACAGAAAAUGUACAAAAAAUAAUGAAAUAACUGGUGACAGACCUCAUUGAUAGAGGGCAAGCAGACCAGUCAGAGUCAGCAUAAGCUAAAAUAAACAAGCAAGGAGAAAAUGAUAAAAAAAUGCCCUGAUCAGGGGCAGUCAUGAUGUACCUCAAAACAUGCAAACCGACCUUCAUAUGAGGAACACAAGGGUGAUAAAGGUAUUGACUAAUAUGUUGCAUAGCAAAAGAAAUAUCAAGCCUAGUAUGUUGUAGAAAAUUAAACUUCCUAGCAAGCCUCCUAUAAGAAGUAAAAUCAGGCAAAGAAUCACCUAUAUCAGGAGUCAACUUGACAAAGGCAUCUAUAGGAGAAGUAAUAUGACUAUAAUUGAAAUAAUGAAACUCUUCCAAUAGAUCAGCAACAUAUUUAUGUUGAUUCAUGAGGUAUCCUGAGGCAUGUGCAAUAAUUUCCAAACCCAAAAAAUAACGAACCAACCCCAAAUCAUUAAUCUUGAACUGAUGAUCUAGAAAAGAUUUAAGGAUGGUUAUUUUACGAAUAUCAAAACAACCAAGUAAUAUAUCAUCCACAUAAAUCAUAAGAAUAACCAAAGAAGCACCGACAACUUGGUAAAGAGAGAGUAAUCAUUUUUGUUGUAAUGUAGCCUCUAGAUAACAAGGCUUUAGACAAUUUAGAAAACCAUUGUAUGAACGCUUAUUUGAGGUCAUAUAAAGACUUUCUGAGCUUAUAAACUAAAGGAGAGGCAGAAUAAGAAGUAAUCUCAAGGCUAGGAGCGACCUUCAUAUAAACAACCUUUGGAGAUCCAUGGAGAAAAGCAUUAUUGACAUAUAACUGUAAAACUAUCUAAUGGUUCUUGGUAGCAAGUGAUAAAAGACAUUUACAAUAGUAAAUUUG